GAAUUACUGGGCGUAAAGCGCGUGUAGGCGGCUCUGCAAGUCGGAUGUGAAAUCCCACGGCUCAACCAUGGAAGUGCAUUCGAAACUGCAGGGCUAGAGUCCUGGAGAGGAAGGUGGAAUGCUUGGUGUAGAGGUGAAAUUCGUAGAUAUCAAGCGGAACACCGGUGGCGAAGGCGGCCUUCUGGACAGUGACGUGACGCUGAGACGCGAAAGCGUGGGGAGCAAACAGGG
rnacentral:rRNA from 1 species